rnacentral:rRNA from 1 species
UACGUAGGGGGCGAGCGUUGUCCGGAUUUAUUGGGCGUAAAGAGCUCGUAGGCGGCUUAGCAAGUCGGGUGUGAAAACUCCAGGCUCAACCUGGAGACGCCACUCGAGACUGCCAUGGCUAGAGUCCGGUAGGGGACCACGGAAUUCCUGGUGUAGCGGUGAAAUGCGCAGAUAUCAGGAGGAACACCGGUGGCGAAGGCGGUGGUCUGGGCCGGCACUGACACUGAGGCACGAAAGCGUGGGGAUCAAACAGG